GAGCGGAUGAAGGGAGCUUGCUCCUGGAUUCAGCGGCGGACGGGUGAGUAAUGCCUAGGAAUCUGCCUGGUAGUGGGGGACAACGUUUCGAAAGGAACGCUAAUACCGCAUACGUCCUACGGGAGAAAGCAGGGGACCUUCGGGCCUUGCGCUAUCAGAUGAGCCUAGGUCGGAUUAGCUAGUUGGUGAGGUAAUGGCUCACCAAGGCGACGAUCCGUAACUGGUCUGAGAGGAUGAUCAGUCACACUGGAACUGAGACACGGUCCAGACUCCUACGGGAGGCAGCAGUGGGGAAUAUUGGACAAUGGGCGAGAGCCUGAUCCAGCCAUGCCGCGUGUGUGAAGAAGGUCUUCGGAUUGUAAAGCACUUUAAGUUGGGAGGAAGGGUUGUAGAUUAAUACUCUGCAAUUUUGACGUUACCGACAGAAUAAGCACCGGCUAACUCUGUG
rnacentral:rRNA from 1 species